UACGGGGGGAGCAAGCGUUGUUCGGAUUUACUGGGCGUAAAGGGCGCGUAGGCGGUCAGCACAAGUCAGUUGUGAAAUCUCCGGGCUUAACCCGGAAAGGUCAACCGAUACUGCGGGGCUAGAGUGCAGAAGGGGCAACUGGAAUUCUCGGUGUAGCGGUGAAAUGCGUAGAUAUCGAGAGGAACACCUGCGGCGAAGGCGGGUUGCUGGGCUGACACUGACGCUGAAGUGCGAAAGCUAGGGGAGCGAACGGG
rnacentral:rRNA from 1 species